CUUUGAUCUCAAGCUUCACUGUGAUGAGCCCAGCUGUUCACAAAGCUAUUUUCAUGCUUGCCAGCUUAAUAUCCUGCAGCACAGCAGUGCAGUGAAGUGAAGAAGGUCCCUUUCUGAUUACAGGUCCACCCUGCAAAGAAGCUUCAAGGAGCCAAUAUCCUGAAGACAUGCAACCCACAAGGGAUGAUUUCCCCAGGAGAAGCCAUGCCAGUUCAUCCCUCCCUCAUCCUACUGCUGCUUGACUGAUGGUAUAAAACCUGGAGCUCUGUCAUUUACCGUGAAGAAGGAAAUAAUAAGCAAGGAAAACAGAGAGAAAAUUAUGAAUGGCACCUGGUCUCUGGAUAAGAUCAUCCAGAUUCUCAUGGACAUCCCUGGAUUGUAAAAGUAGAAUCACAUUCUUCACAUAAAGAGGAUGCUUCUCUGGUCUGCCGGAACAAUACUGGCCAUUUUAUCUAAAAUCUGUACAUAACCUUAGAAAGAGGAAUGUUAUCACCCAUACCUGACUUAGAAUUUUAAAUACAAGAAUAUCCUCUAUUAGAAAAUUCUUACUGUCUAUUUGAACUCCCAUAGUAUAUCUUUAUGAAAGUUGUGUAAGUGUCUUAAAAGGUUCAGAUCAAGGUUGAGAUUAGGUGACUUGACCCCAGACUAUGUAUUUCUAUUAAACCAAAUGGAAUAGAAA
rnacentral:lncRNA from 1 species